UACGAAGGGGGGCUAGCGUUGCUCGGAAUCACUGGGCGUAAAGCGCACGUAGGCGGACUCUUAAGUCGGUGGUGAAAUCCUGGAGCUCAACUCCAGAACUGCCUUUGAUACUGAAGAUCUUGAGUCCGGGAGAGGUGAGUGGAACUGCGAGUGUAGAGGUGAAAUUCGUAGAUAUUCGCAAGAACACCAGUGGCGAAGGCGGCUCACUGGCCCGGUACUGACGCUGAGGCACGAAAGCGUGGGGAGCAAACAGG
rnacentral:rRNA from 1 species